rnacentral:rRNA from 1 species
UUUUAAUUUUUAACUCUAAUUGUUGUGAAACUUUUUUCUUUUAUUUUUUUUUAUUUAAUGUUUUGUAAAAUAUUUAUUAUUUUUUUAUUUUUGUGAGAAGUUUUUUAAAUUUGUUUUAUUGAACUGGAUUAGUACCCAGGUAAUCAAAAUUUAUUAGUUCGGGAGUAAAGUUGUAUUUAAACCGAAAAAAUAUUGACUGACCUUAGAUUUUUUUUUGGAACAUGUUUUGGAGAGCCCUCCUUGGUAGUUUUUUUUUAGGUACAUGUAUGAUUGUUUAGUUUUUAUAUUAAUUUUGAGGCUUGUUUUUGUUCUAAAACAGAUAUAUACUUGGCUAAUAAAAGAUUUUUUAUGUGUUACUAUUUUUUAUUUAUCCGGAUGUAAUUUUUAUUAAUUAUUGAAGUUGGAAAAAAAAGUAAUUUUAUUUUAAUGUUAAAGUGAAUUAAAUAAAUGAGG